rnacentral:rRNA from 1 species
UACGAAGGGGGCUAGCGUUGCUCGGAAUCACUGGGCGUAAAGCGCACGUAGGCGGCUUCUCAAGUCAGGGGUGAAAUCCUGGAGCUCAACUCCAGAACUGCCUUUGAUACUGAGGGGCUCGAGUCCGGGAGAGGUGAGUGGAACUGCGAGUGUAGAGGUGAAAUUCGUAGAUAUUCGCAAGAACACCAGUGGCGAAGGCGGCUCACUGGCCCGAUACUGACGCUGAGGCACGAAAGCGUGGGGAGCAAACAGG